UGAAUCUCUGCAGGGCAAGCCCUUUACUCACUCACAGUAGAGGCCAGGACCAUCGUCUGUUAUUUUAUUAACUGUUUCUUGGCCAUUGGCUCUAUGUGGGACUUUGUUCUACAGCAGUGAUGAGAGCUGCCCCCAGGCAGUUUAGUACACAGAGACAGGGUCUUGCUGUUUCCCCCAGGCUGGAGUGCAAUGGAGUGAUCAUAGCUCACUUCAGCCUCCAACUCCUGGGCUCAAGCGAUCCUCCCACCUCAGCCUCCCCCGUAGCUGGGACUACAGGCAUAUGCCACCAUGCCCGGCUUCUCAGAGCUGCAAUUUUAAAUUGGGAGCCAGGGAAGACCUCCCUGUGGAGGUGGCAGGUUAUCAAGACUGAAGAUGUAGAGAAGAACCUUCCAGUCAAAGGGAAAAGGCAGGUCCUGCUGUGCUCAGGAAUGGCCAGAAGUACUAUCAUCCAUCCCCAUCUUAGAGAUGUGGACAGGGCCGCAACAGUGUCAGGGCGUUUCCUGGCUCCUCAACAGCAGGAUCCGAAGUCGUCUGGAGGAUGUGCCGCUCUGCUUGGGGCGGACCUCCCCUGGAGCGCACCUCCCCUGGAGCGCGCGGACGCGCAGGGUGCACACAGCCCUCUUGGACCCCGGGACCGGCUCAGGCUCAGGCUCGGCGUCAGCAAAGGGACCUGCGCGGCGCCCUGGGGCGGAGGAGGCCCGACGGUCAGUGGCCAGUGCCGUGCGGCUGACGGAGGUCGGGGCGCAACGGGACCGGGAGGAGCGCCCAGGGCGGGGGUGCCAGGCCCCCUCCAACCGCGGCGGGGUUGGAGUCAAGGCGGCUCCGGGCGGGGGUCGGACCCCAAAUCCAGGCCACAGGCCGCCGCCCGGUCUUCUUCUUUACCCGAAGGGCGGCCGCGGCGGAUGGGAAGCCGUGCACGACGAGCACAAUCUCCAUGGGGAGGAGAACAGGAAUGUUCCUGUGAGCCCCGCCGCGCCCUACCGCCAGCGCAGCCCAGCAUCGCGGGUCCCCUCCUAUCCCACCGGAGAACGGGGUCCUCACUCCCAGCUUCAGCCGAGCCCUGGCCCCGCAACUGCCUGAAGGCACGCCCCCUGCACCUGCCCACCUCAGGUCCCGCCUCCAGCCCAGUGGCCAAGAUCGCGGGUCUCUACAAUGACUUGGAGCCACCCCGGAAGACCAUGCGCAGAGGGGUGCUGAUGACCCUGCUGCAGCAGUCGGCCAUGACCCUGCCCCUGUGGAUUGGGAAGCCUGGUGACAAGCCCCCACCCCUCUGUGGGGCCAUCCCUGCCUCAGGAGACUACGUGGCCAGACCUGGAGACAAGCCCCAGGAGGACUAUUCUAUCCUGUUUGAAGACACCUCCUAUGCAGACGGCUACUCCCCUCAUCUCAGUGUGGCCCAGAGGUACCUGGUAGCUUCUAAGGAGCCCAAGAAAAAGUGACGCUGCCCGGCGGACUCGACGUCCUCCACCAUCUUGGGGCAGGACAGCAGAGGAUGUGCUGGGAUUAAACAGACAUCCCCCCUCCACACAUCUCCUGGGUUUUACUUCUCCAAACCCUUCUCCCCUCCCCAGAUAUGGUGACCUGGGGAGCUGAAGGCUGGGGGAGAGGUGACCAUAUGUGGCCCCACCGGGCAUUCACUCUUUCAGCUCAGAGUUUCUCUUCCUUUCCAAUACAGGCUCUACAUGAACACAAA
ensembl:lncRNA novel transcript